rfam:Myotis lucifugus cont2.40370, whole genome shotgun sequence.
GGCAGUUCUCAGGUGUCACACCCCGGAAUCGGGCUCCCUCCUCUCUGGUUCCAGGGCAGGUCACCCAGGAACCACC